CGGUCCCAACUUCGUGGCCGAACCUGAUUGGCUUUCGUGUGCAAGAUGCAAUUACAAUUAUCCACAGGGAGCGGCCAGAUUUAAGAGGAGCUCGCGUGCUCCCUCCAAACGUGGCCCCGACGCCACCCGCACCAGGAGAAGUCCGUGUUGUCAUCUACAACGACAGCCAGCACAUUGUUAUCCCCCCAGCGCCAUACAUUGGCUAGCCAACUGGCAUUAUAUUUUUUUUUCUUAUACUACAUAAAAGCCUAGCAUCUUUUAUGAAUAAUGCGACAGAGUGUGAUAUCGAUCGCCAUGAAUGCUAUCUAGUGUGUAUAGAGUUGCUUGUAUGGUCGAGUCAUAUUUGUGCGUGUGUGUGAGCUUGUGUGAUGAAUCUGCAUAUGCUUCAAUGGUUGUACUACCCAAUAUAUUAAAUAAACAAUACUGUAUUGCCCCGUUUGCUAUGCUAGGAAAGUAUCCCAGUCUUUGCAUGUAAAUGUUCGAUCGUUAUAGCUCCACACCAUUAAGAUUGCAGUUUUGACUGUAGAACUAAUCCUCGCAUUCUUGGCUCAGCAUG
rnacentral:lncRNA from 1 species